CGUAAUUUUGGUGAUGGAGUUCGCCAUAAAUGCUUUAAGCUGAUGACUCCUGCAAAUAA
rnacentral:ncRNA from 1 species